GUUUCUGUAGUGUAGUGGUCAUCAUGUUCGCCGUACAUGUGAAAGGUCCCCAGCUCGAAACUGGGCAGAAACA